AUCCAGCUGACAAGUCCCAAAUAGGACUAAACGUGCCUCAAACUGGAU
rnacentral:hammerhead_ribozyme from 1 species